CUCCAUGACAAACCCACCUGGGGUUCUCCACAUGCCCUGGAGGGCUUGCAACAGCUCCGGGCAGCUUCCAGCUGUGAGAAGGAUGAGUGAGGGGAUUCACCUGAGCUGUAACAGAACCAUGGGAGGGGCUUGGUUUACUGGGAUAAAUUCUGAGGAAGUUCUGCUGGAGUUGUGUAACAUAAAGACAACGUGUGGUUGCUUCUGUCGCAGAUAUAAAUAUGUACAGUGCCUCCAUGGCCCAGAGAAACAUCUAUGGUCACAGCUGAGUGCACUCCUUCAAACAACACAUUCCAUCCCUUUGCAUCUGGAUGUACCUGUGGGAAGAUGAGUCUGAGUUUAGAAACUGGGAGAUCUCCAUAAAUCUUCAUUUUGGGUGUGAGAAUAUGGUUUCAAGCAUGCAUACCCCAAAAUCUGUGACUUCAACAAAAUGCUUCAGGCAGGGAGGGUCUGGGGGAUUUCUUUCCUCUCCAGUUGGUCAAAACCAUUUUGUUGUCAGCAUAAUUCCAUGGAUUUAAUCAGAAAUGUGUUGAACAGACUUCCCUAAGUGGUGGAGACACUGAGUGUGGAGGGAUUUAAAUGACAUGUAGAUGUGGUUCUUGGGGACUUGGGUUAGAGGUGGCCUUGGCAGUGGGGGGUUAAAUGUUGGACCUCAUGAUCCUGGAGAUUUUUUCCAGCCUAAUCAAUUCUAUGAUUCUAUGAAAAAGCCCUCCAGGGAGGGCAGUGCCAAAGGGCUGAUGCAAACUGGCUGCCACUGGAGCUGGAAUCAGCAUAGGGUGAUGCUCAUCCCUGCCUGGAGCUGUGGGAAUUCGCAGUGGGAUAGGCAGCUCACAGGGCAGAUCUCUGGGAAUGUGAAUUUUUCCUAAGAAGCAUAAUGGAUCUUGCCUGGCUUCUUUAGAAUCCCCUGCCCCAGGUGCUGGCACCUGGAGUGUUGUGGAGAAGGGAGGCUCCGACUCCAGGCCCAUUCUGGAAGGUGCUGAGCAUCUCCUUAGCUCAAGGGCUGGAUCCUCAUUUCCACUCCAGCCUCUCCAGGCUGCAAAUGCAGCUCCCAGGGCCCUUUAAUGUUCAGAGCAGCUCAAGUGUAAAUGAGAAUCAGGCCCUCCAGUGCCAUCUCUUUUCUUCCAAAGAGGAAAAAUCUCCUUGACUACAGGGAGUGAAGUGGGUCAGGAUGGUUUGGGGUUGACUCAAACCUCUUCAGUUCUGUGCUGGGUGAUGGCUGCCCUUCACUUGAGAGCCGAAAUGUUUAAGCUGCUUUUGGAGGCAAGAAGAGUUUGCAAAUCCAGGCUCGGCAUCCAUGCAAGAGAGCAGAUGCUCUCCCCACCACACCAGCUUUUCCAGAAAGGUUUCCCAAUUUCCCAGAGGUCUCUGAGGAGGAGCAGAGGAGCAGGCAGUGGUCAAGGACAAGGAACUCUUGUGGCCUCCUCUGCCAGAGGAGUGACUUUGCCAGGCGUGCCCGGCACGCGUUCUGCUGCACUGAUCUCCUGCAUUUUGUGCUCCAUUGCUCUGCAAGAGGACAGAGUGUCUGGAGCAUGGUGACAUCAAUCUGGGCACAUGGCUGGGGCUCCUGCUGUCAGGGACAGAAAGGUUCUGCAGUGGAAAGGGGAUGGAUCCGUCCACGGAGUGAAUACCUGGGGAUGGUGUUCAUUAGUGCAAAAGGAGGGGGAGGGAGGCGAUUUGGCUGGGAUACACAAAAAGGUGUUCAUCUGCCAGGGAGUGGGUAAUGAGGCUGGACCAAGUUAAUAUCUGGGGCUGGAACAUGUUCAGACGAGAACGUGUCAAUGCCUGGGAAUGAGGAUUUUGGAGAUGCGGCUGUCAAGGCUAUCCAGGAUCUUCAGAAACCCUUGAUAAGGUCACUCCACCCUACUGAUGA